GAGGGUGUAGUUCAGUGGUAGAGCAUGUGCUUUGCAUGCAUGAGACCCUGUGUUCAAUUCUCAGCACCCCA
rfam:Heterocephalus glaber contig65698, whole genome shotgun sequence.